UACGUAGGGGGCAAGCGUUGUCCGGAAUUAUUGGGCGUAAAGCGCGCGCAGGCGGUCAUGUAAGUCUGGUGUUUAAACCCGGGGCUCAACUCCGGGUCGCAUCGGAAACUGUGUGACUUGAGUGCAGAAGAGGAAAGUGGAAUUCCACGUGUAGCGGUGAAAUGCGUAGAUAUGUGGAGGAACACCAGUGGCGAAGGCGACUUUCUGGGCUGUAACUGACGCUGAGGCGCGAAAGCGUGGGGAGCAAACAGG
rnacentral:rRNA from 1 species